AUACCGUAUCGGUUCCAGCAGGGCCUGGUGAAGAAGCGCCGAGGCUGGGAGUAGGGGCCUCAGUUGAUGGGGACGGUGGGCUGGAGGCCGAAGGUGAUAGCGCUGGAGACUUAGCUUUGGUCUUGCUAGGGGCCGGAGCUGGAACCGUGGCAGGAGGAGAAGCCAAAGGAGCUGGUGGUGGGGUAGCUGGAGGAGGAGUAGCAGGAGGGGGAGAAGCAGGUGGUGGGGUAGCCUGAGGUGGAGAAGCCGGUGGGGGAGUUGCGGGAGGUGGGGUAGCUGGGGGAGGAGUAGCCGGUGGAGGAGAAGCUGGUGGUGGGGAGCUAACGGGCGGGGGAGUCGCUGGAGGAGGAGUGGAAACUGGUGGUGGAGAAGCUGUCACUGGAGGUGGUGAUGAUGUAGGAGGAGGAGUGGAAGCUGGUGGCGGAGAAGUAGUUGUGGGUGUUGGAGGUGGUUGAGUAGUAGGCGGAGGUGUGGAAGCGGGUGGGGUCGGCGGCACCGGCGUGGAUGUCGGAGGAUUACUAGGAGUAGGAGGAGCUUGGCCUAAAGCGCCAGCUACAGCAAUGCAAAACAAAGCUGAUAAGAACAAAAACUUGUUAUUAAGCAUCAUGUUGGAAACAAUGGUGACCCUUUAAUCCUGCACACCCUCUCCGCUUAAACUACGCCCAGCCGCGCAAGCAAAAGAGGG
rnacentral:lncRNA from 1 species